rnacentral:rRNA from 1 species
AUUGAACGCUGGCGGCAGGCCUAACACAUGCAAGUCGAGCGAGCGGCGGACGGGUGAGUAAUGUCUGGGAAACUGCCUGAUGGAGGGGGAUAACUACUGGAAACGGUAGCUAAUACCGCAUACCAUCAGAUGUGCCCAGAUGGGAUUAGCUGGUAGGUGGGGUAACGGCUCACCUAGGCGACGAUCCCUAGCUGGUCUGAGAGGAUGACCAGCCCCACCGGAAAUGGAACAAGGUCCCAAACCCUAAGGGAGGCAAGAGUGGGGAAGUUUUGCACAUGGGCGGAAGCCUUAUGCCGCCCAUCCGGGUGUGGUAAGAAGGCCCUCGGGUUGUAAAGCACUUUCAGCGGGGAGGCGUUACCCGCAGAAGAAGCACCGGCUAACUCCGUGCCAGCAGCCGCGGUAAUUC